GGCCUUAUAGUCAAGUAUGAUACCAGACUGCAAUUCUGGAGGAGUGAAAUCAAAUUUACUAAGGCUU
rnacentral:tRNA from 1 species